ensembl:lncRNA
UGCAAAGAGAAGAAAAUUUCAAAAUGAUUUUUAUUUUGCUUAAAAGUAAAAUGGUAUGAUAUAUUAAUCCUUUUAUCCUUUUCUUUAUAUUUCAAAAAAAAAAAAACUAAAACAAACAAAACAAACAAACAAAAAAAAACACUUCAGUCUUUAAACUAAAAAAAAAUAUAUCAUUUUGGAACUGACAGAUUUUCCCUAAGAAAUGCUGAAAGCAACAGUCUCAUGUUUUCAUGAUAAAAUAUUCACUUAAUAUUAGACACUUUAAAAUGUCAAAAUGAAGUGAUUCAGGAUUAUAAUUUCCCUCCCUCUCUAUUUUUCAUCUGAAAUUAUUAUGAGUAGAUUCACUUCCACCCACCCUCACUCCAAACUACACUUAGUGCUAAAUAUUCUGUUUCUUACAUGCACACCGAUCACUUUGGGAUAUCAAACUAUUACUACACUAGCUUGAUGCAGCCCAUCCCUCAGGCUCUAUAUCAUACAGCUCUCCUGGAACUUGGAGUGCCUCAGGCUGGGAAUAUAUCUGGUAAUAGGGAUGUUCUAAUGCUACGCUGAACGGAGCACACAAAACAGCAGGAAACCUGAGGAACUCCCAAACCUUACCCAUUUAUAUCAGCUUCAGCUGCCACAGACAUGAAAAUCAUACAUUCUACCACUGUUAUAGUGAAUAACAAGUUAGUUUAUUCAGCUGAGAAAUCCAAUUUAAAACUCAUCUAGGAAUAUCAUUAUCCUGUAAGCUACAUAGCAGUGAGAAAAACAUAAAAAAAAUUGCUCAACCAGGACUAAAGUAAGUGGGUUAUUCUUCAAGUAAUCCAUUCACUGAUCAAUUCUAGUGAGUGUUUUGACUAAAUCAGUACAGAAGGAGAAGUUCAGAAUGGGUAUAAAACACCACCAUCUGCAUAGCAAUGUUUCUAAAACAACCACUUCACAAGCAUUUUCCAGCAGCUGGACAAAAUCCACAGAAGGCAAUUCUCGAGGGAUUUGUUCCAGAAAUACUGCUUUUAGUAUGUAUCGUUCCAGUUACUACUUUCUGACCUUGCAUAUUUCAGGAUCUCUGGCAUAUCCUAUAACAUAAAAUAAA